rnacentral:misc_RNA from 1 species
AAGGAGUCUAACAUGCAUGCGAGUAUUUGGGCGGCAAACCCAAGUGCGGAAUGAAAGUGAAAAGGUGGGAGCACCAUCGACCGGGUUUUUUGUGGAAAAGACUCGAGUAGGAGCAUGUAUGGUGGGACCCGAAAGAUGGUGAACUAUGCCUGAAUAGGGUGAAGCCAGAGGAAACUCUGGUGGAGGUCCGUAGCGAUUCUAACGUGCAAAUUGAUCGUCGAACUUGGGUAUAGGGGCGAAAGACUAAUCGAACCAUCUAGUAGCUGGUUCCUCC